rnacentral:rRNA from 1 species
UACGGAGGGGGCUAGCGUUGUUCGGAAUUACUGGGCGUAAAGCGUGUGUAGGCGGCCAAGCAAGUCGGAUGUGAAAGCCCUGGGCUCAACCCAGGAAGUGCACUCGAUACUGCCUGGCUCGAGUGCGGCAGAGGAGACUGGAAUUCCUGGUGUAGCGGUGAAAUGCGCAGAUAUCAGGAGGAACACCGGUGGCGAAGGCAGGUCUCUGGGCCACUACUGACGCUGAGAAGCGAAAGCAUGGGGAGCGAACAGG